AAAUUUUCUAAGAACGGUUUCAGACCAAAACACGCCGUGCCUCUUUUGUGAAAACCUUUCUUCUUCAAAAUGGAAACAAAUCUCUUCAUUAGGGAUGACAAUGCCAUCUGUAGCAAGUAAUCAUUCAGCAAUGAGGAAACUUCCAUUCAAGGAUUCUAAUGUGUCUAAGUGCAUCGUGUUCUCCUAUGCUAACUAUAAUCUCUUCAGAAAAUGCGUUGUGAUUUCUUUCCAUAAACGCUAUAAAACGGGCCUUGAUACGUUUCCAGAAAUGCACAAACCUUGCAACAUUGUUAUUUUCCUAAUCGAGUAUAAUCUCAUACAAUGGAUACAAAGACACCUAUGAUCACUAUAUAAAUAUGGCCCUAUAGGCUCAUAAUGCUACCAUCACGAAGUUUAGGAGAGCAGAAUUUCACUGCUAAUUUAGAUACCACAUACUCCUCCGAAGAAAAAUGACAAAGACUUGUGCGAUAAUAGUGUGCUUCCUUCUCAUCCUUGGUUUGCAAGAUGGAGCUAAAAGUAGAGAACUGGAACCUGCAAAGAAUGCUGAUCUCCUAUCCUCGUCUGCGUUGGCAUCCCUGUCUCCGGCACCCUAUCAUUUGGAAUGCAUAAGCGAAGAACAAUGCUAUGAGUAUCAGUGUGAGGAUCCUCACUGCAUCAUGCAUUGUGUGCAGGCAACUUGUCAAUGCUCUUGCGGAAAAUAAUCAGUUGAGCUCCUUUCUUGAUCCAUUCAGAUAUGAAAAAUAAGUGCAUUUCAAGACAUGUAUAAGUGAAAUUCAUAGAGAAAUAUGUCCUCGUGAUGAUAUUAUCAAUGAAGUUACACUUCAAAUUUUCAUUUUAA